rnacentral:rRNA from 1 species
GGACUACCAGGGUAUCUAAUCCCGUUCGCUCCCCUGGCUUUCGCGCCUCAGCGUCAGUUGAGGUCCAGCACGUCGCCUUCGCCACCGGUGUUCCUUCCGAUAUCUACGCAUUUCACCGCUCCACCGGAAGUUCCACAUGCCCCUACCUCACUCCAGACGACCAGUAUCAAAGGCAGUUUUCCGGUUAAGCCGAAAGAUUUCACCCCUGACUUGGUUGUCCGCCUACGCGCCCUUUAAGCCCAGUGAUUCCGAACAACGUUCGCACGGUUCGUCUUACCGCGGCUGCUGGCAC